rnacentral:lncRNA from 1 species
ACUUGGAUCCCAUUCUGCUAUUAAAGCUUGAUGGUUCCUAAAUGUUGCAAAAAAAGUAAAAAAACACUUAGAAACAUAUUUGGUCUAGCAAAGUUGCAAGAACCGAAGCUAGAACCAAGGAACAAGGUCACCAUAAACAACUUGAAUAGAGGCCGGUAGGUCAACAUCGAAAUGGACCAGCAGACAAGGAGAAGAUCAAGGGUCGCUCAGAGCACAAUAGGCGGAGGCGGUUGACAAUUCCGGCCCCGGCCAUUGGCAUCGAUGAACUAGCUCCAAUCAAAAACCCAGUCCAGAGAUUUAGGCACAGAAGGUCAUUAUCCAAACCCAAAAGACUACACCUGGCCAAUGACGAGCACUUUCUGAUGGAGUAGGCGGUAGGUUGACGGCUAAAACCGGCCACUCCACACAAUAAAUUACCCGGAGCAGAGGAGUAGGAGAGGCAGACACUAACAAAGCGAAAGUCUCCUUCCGGCGUUUGAAGCACAGGCAGACUCGUGAAAGUCCACAAAGCAUGGAACAAAAGAGCAGAUGAGAGCCUCUGAAACGGAGGCGGCAGAACGGGAAAGUCCCCAAACCCGAGCACACCCACAAAUCGGAGUAGACAACUGCAGCUGGAAGCGCCAUGGGAAGUUGAAGGUAAGCUUGACUGAGGAAGAGGCCCUCAACGGAGUGUCUCAGCUCCGCCGCGCUCUGAAGAAACCAGGUCUUCGAGGAGAGGCUCUACAGACUUGACUCGCUUCAAUGGAGGAGGAGCACUGACACGGCAAGACGGAAAGAACAGAGAAGAGGCAGCGACGCUCAAGAUCCGCUCUUCCACGGCAAGGGGUGACGGAUCUGACCCAGAUCUGUCGGUAGUGGCUCGAACCCAAAAAGCAAAUACAAGCGGCCUGAUUCGGAUCUACUUUACAGCGCCUCGCCCUCGCUCCAGAGAAUGCUAGAACACUUUAGCUUUCUGUUUAGGUCCGACGAAUCAGAGAUCCAGAGCAGAAGCAGCAAAGAGGCGAUGAUGGAAGCAGAGGAAGGCAGGGGAGAGACUGAAGCUGAACAGCAAACGAAAAAGACGGGUGGUCGACGGUUAGAAACCGACCGCCGACCACCGAAAACGAGAAAGAAGAACGGCCGAACCCUAACGCGAUGGAGGAGGAAAGAGAGAUGAAAAGAGAGAAAAAAUCUCUCUCCUCUCUCUAGAUUACAAUUUUGAUUUUUGAAAAAUCAUUGAGGUGUAAGAUA